rnacentral:rRNA from 1 species
GUAGUCAUAUGCUUGUCUCAAAGAUUAAGCCAUGCAUGUCUAAGUAUAAGCAACUUGUACUGUGAAACUGCGAAUGGCUCAUUAAAUCAGUUAUCGUUUAUUUGAUAGUACCUUACUACAUGGAUACCUGUGGUAAUUCUAGAGCUAAUACAUGCUAAAAACCCCGACUUCAGGAAGGGGUGUAUUUAUUAGAUAAAAAACCAACGCCCUUCGGGGCUCCUUGGUGAAUCAUAAUAACUUAACGAAUCGCAUGGCCUUGCGCCGGCGAUGGUUCAUUCAAAUUUCUGCCCUAUCAACUUUCGAUGGUAGGAUAGUGGCCUACCAUGGUUGCAACGGGUAACGGGGAAUAAGGGUUCGAUUCCGGAGAGGGAGCCUGAGAAACGGCUACCACAUCCAAGGAAGGCAGCAGGCGCGCAAAUUACCCAAUCCCAACACGGGGAGGUAGUGACAAUAUGUAACGAUAUACGGCCUUAUACGUCGUAUAAUUGGAAUGAGUACAAUUUAAAUCCCUUAACGAGGAACAAUUGGAGGGCAAGUCUGGUGCCAGCAGCC